GGCCUAACACAUGCAAGUCGAACGGCAGCACGGGGCAACCUGGUGGCGAGUGGCGAACGGGUGAGUAAUAUAUCGGAACGUACCCUGGAGUGGGGGAUAACGUAGCGAAAGUUACGCUAAUACCGCAUACGAUCUAAGGAUGAAAGCAGGGGACCGCAAGGCCUUGUGCUCCUGGAGCGGCCGAUAUCUGAUUAGCUAGUUGGUAGGGUAAAAGCCUACCAAGGCAUCGAUCAGUAGCUGGUCUGAGAGGACGACCAGCCACACUGGAACUGAGACACGGUCCAGACUCCUACGGGAGGCAGCAGUGGGGAAUUUUGGACAAUGGGCGCAAGCCUGAUCCAGCAAUGCCGCGUGAGUGAAGAAGGCCUUCGGGUUGUAAAGCUCUUUUGUCAGGGAAGAAACGGUGGAGGCUAAUAUCCUUUGCUAAUGACGGUACCUGAAGAAUAAGCACCGGCUAACUACGUGCCAGCAGCCGCGGUAAUACGUAGGGUGCAAGCGUUAAUCGGAAUUACUGGGCGUAAAGCGUGCGCAGGCGGUUUUGUAAGUUUGUCGUGAAAUCCCCGGGCUCAACCUGGGAAUGGCGAUGAAGACUGCAAGGCUAGAAUCUGGCAGAGGGGGGUAGAAUUCCACGUGUAGCAGUGAAAUGCGUAGAGAUGUGGAGGAACACCGAUGGCGAAGGCAGCCCCCUGGGUCAAGAUUGACGCUCAUGCACGAAAGCGUGGGGAGCAAACAGGAUUAGAUACCCUGGUAGUCCACGCCCUAAACGAUGUCUACUAGUUGUCGGGUUUUAAUUAACUUGGUAACGCAGCUAACGCGUGAAGUAGACCGCCUGGGGAGUACGGUCGCAAGAUUAAAACUCAAAGGAAUUGACGGGGACCCGCA
rnacentral:rRNA from 1 species